UACUAGAAAUACAAAAACUAGCUGGGUGUGU
rnacentral:piRNA from 1 species